GAUGAACGCUGGCGGCGUGCCUAAUACAUGCAAGUCGAGCGAACAGACGAGGAGCUUGCUCCUCUGACGUUAGCGGCGGACGGGUGAGUAACACGUGGAUAACCUACCUAUAAGCCUGGGAUAACUUCGGGAAACCGGAGAUAAUACCGGAUACUAUAUUGAACCGCAUGGUUCAAUAGUGAAAGACGGUCUUGCUGUCACUUACAGAUGGUUCCGAGCCGCAUUAGCUAGUUGGUAAGGUAACGGCUUACCAAGGCAACGAUGCGUAGCCGACCUGAGAGGGUGAUGGGCCACACUGGAACUGAGACACGGUCCAGACUCCGACGGGAGGCAGCAGUAGGAAAGCUGCCGCAAUGGGCGAAAGCCGGACGGAGCAACGCCGCGUGAGUGAUGAAGGUCUUCGGAUCGUAAAACUCUGUUAUUAGGGAAGAACAAAAAGGUAAGUAACUAUGCACGUCGUGACGGUACCGAAUCAGAAAGCCACGGCUAACUACGUG
rnacentral:rRNA from 1 species